GUACAACCUAUGGGUGUGGUUGGAGAGAACAUGUGUUCCACCUGAAUGGCAGAUCAAGAUUAUUCCUUCUCAUCUGCUGCAAUGGCUCAAUGUGUUAAGGAGAGGAGCGAGACAGCAAGAACUGCAUUCAUUCAGUCAUACAGACCAAAAGGAGGAAUGUCGCCCAGCCCCCUAAACUGACCCAGAACCCAGCUCAUGUCUCAACUGCUACCUCUACUACUUAGAAAGAAGUAACUCCACCAAAGCAGGGUUCUGGACAAAUAUAUUUUUAUUGAUCUUAUACAAAUAGAUGAAGAUGGACUUGGAUGUUAAGAAAAAUAAUACUAUUCAAAAUCAAGAGAAGACAGUCGCCCCUAGACUUAAAUUAAGGGUGUGUACAUUAGAUAAUUUAAUCCAAUGUAUCAGGUAAAAACUUGAACAAACCUUUUGGCCUCUUCCUUAAAAUUCAGGGAAGUAUGUCCUCCACAAAACAGAAUCAAAAUAUAAAUAAAAGACUGGCUUAAGAUGAAAAUAAACCUUACAAAUGAAAAGCCAGAUGAGAGGCACUUAACUGAGAAUGAAAAGAAACUGAGCGGACAAAAUAAUUAUGAGAAGAUGAACCUUCAAAUCAGAAAGAGGGAAAAAAGCUUAUUUGAUACUAUGAGAACUCAAAAGAGAGUGAACACAAGUGUGAAAAUUCCAAGAGUAAAGAAAAGUAGCAUAACUAAAUUAAGAGCAUGAGAAAAUGUGUACAAUUUUGAGUAAUAAGAGCGGAAAUCCAAAGUACCUAUUGUAUGUGAUAUUUUAGUAGAGCAACACUGAAGAAGAAUGAAAACAAGAAAUAAUAUUAAAUAUGAACAUAUGGAGAACAGAAUAAUAUUUUUAAAUUUUUUAGUUUCUAAGCUUAUCUGAAAUUUUAAUUUUGGUUUCUUAUAUAAUACCAGAGUUAUUAGGAAGUUAUUAGCUAAUAACACUAUUUUCAGUGAUAUUUUAAGUAUUUGUCCUAGA
rnacentral:lncRNA from 1 species